GAGCAACCAAAAAGAGGGAGCGGUUCGAGCAGUGUCUAAAGGAUAUUAUAUCAAAAUGAUUGCUGAAAAUAAAUAAAAUUCCUACUUUGUAUAAUCCAUCAGAUAUGGGAACUAAGGUGAUACCUUUAAAUAAGUUUCAAAACUGUUUAAAGAUGUUAUCUAUUGAUUCUUUUCAUUGAUUGUACAGGUACUUGAAGCAAAUGACAUUAUAAAUGUUGGUGAAGCUCGUAGGUGCACUAUAGCCUUAAGUUUUGGAAGCAAUGUGGAGAUUGUUGAGAAUUAAACCUGUGGCAGUAAAAGAUGUGCUUCCAAAAUUGAAGAAAACGUGUUUUACAAAUAGCAACUCUAUUAGUUGAGGCAAUCAACAAGAUCUUGACAAGCGGCACUAUUGUGGCUGUCCAAUCUUAUGCUAGUGACUUGCAAUAUAUAAAUCUGGAGUGACUCCAUUGACCGGCAGAUUCCGAGGGGAGAAAAAUUCAGAAAUUAUUCUUCUUGUUGAGUCCGACUCGCCCCUUUCUCUCUCUACAAGAAUUCCUAAUUUCUUGGUGAUUUAGGGUUCCAAUACUUGAGUGAUUAUAGUUAUUAAAUGCAUAUGUAAUGCUGUGAAUCGAGAGCCAGAAUCUAUUCUUGCUGCUGGGAAUGAUUUUCAGAUUUGAGAGACAUUAUUCUUCAUCUUGGAAGCCCGUAUCUGGUCUCUCUUUCUUCCCUGCAUGAAAACCAUUAUUCUAGGUGAUAAAUGGGUUCUUAUCUGGAGAAUAUUCUUGGGUUUGGGUCAGAUUUCUGGUCGUUUUCUUUCCUAUGUGAGAAUUCCAUUUUUGGUUAUUAAGGCUCACAUAUUUUGGUGGUUCCAGUGAAUGAAUGCUGAGAAAUCUUUUGUAACGUGAUAGACCCAUAUAGUUGUGGACUGCUAGGUGUUAUCUUUACAAGAAUCUGUGAGAUUUGCAAGUGAGCAGUGGCGGGUUUUGGAAGAUCUGUGUAAUCUUGGGCUGAUUCCUUAGUGGAUGUUAUUAUGCCUUGUGAUUUCUCUUGAGAUAAGUCUUGGUGACUUUAUUUCUGUUGUACUACUGAAACAUUCUUGUAUUUUACUGUCUGUUUUUUGGGGCUUUAUAGUGCAACCGAACUUUAUCCAUUUUAAUGGAUGUUCAACGGGGGAAUAAGCGUUAGAAGUGGUCGCCGAACCUCUGAGGAUUCGGCCGAAAAAAUCUUUUGUUCAUUUUACAAUUUUCUGCACUUUAUUUUACUGUUUUUUGUGUUUGGUUUAAAUCUUGAUUAAUUCUUAGACACUCCUCGACUUUUCAGUGAUAUCAAAGCAAUCUUGGACUACUGGAGCGUCUCUAAUUCCUGUGAAUUGACUGGAUUCUGAAACUUUCCUUCAAACUGCAAUAAACAUUGGCUGGUGGAAAUUGAGUUUUAUCAAACUCGUUUGGUACUUGGAGCAAAUGACAUUAUAAAUGUUGGUGAAGCUCGUGAGUGCACUAUAACCUUAAAUUUUGGAACCAAGGUGGAGAUUGUUGAGAAUUAAACCUGUGGUGAAAGCAAGGUGGAGAUUGUUGAGAUUAAACCUGUGGCAGUAAAAGAUGUGCUUCCAAAAUUGAAGAAAACGUGUUUUACAAAUAGCAACUCUAUUAGUUGAGGCAAUCAACAAAAUCUUGACAAGUGGCACAAUUGUGGCUGUCCAAUCUUAUGCUAGUGACUUGCAAUAUAUAAAUCUGGAGUGACUCCAUUGACCGGCAGAUUCUGAGAGGAGAAAAAUUCAGAAAUUAUUCUUCUUGUUGAGUCCGAAUCGCCCCUUUCUCUCUCUGCAAGAAUUCCUAAUUCCUCGGUGAUUUAGGGUUAUAAUACUUGAGUGAUUUUAGUGAUUAAAUGCAUAUGUGAUGCUGUGAACCAAGAGACAGAAUCUAUUCUUGCUACCGGGAACAAUUAUUCUAGGUGAUAAAUGAGUUUUUAUCUGGAGAAUAUCCUUGGUUUUGGGUCAGAUUUCUGGUCGUUUUCUUUCCUAUGUGAGAACUCCAUUUUUAGUUAUUAAGGCUCACAUAUUUUGGUGGUUCCAAUGAAUGAAUGUUGAGAAAUCUUUUGUAAUGUGAUAGACCCAUAUAGUUGUGGACUGCUCGGUGUUAUCUUUGCAAGAAUCUGUGAGAUUUGCAAGUGAGCAGUGGCGGGUUUUGGAAGAUCUAUGUGAUCUUCGGCUGAUUCCUUAGUGGAUGUUAUUAUGUCUUGUGAUUUCUCUUGAGAUAAGUCUUGGUGACUUUAUUUCUGCUGUACUGCUGAAACAUUCUUGUAUUUUACAGCUUGUUUUUUGGGGCUUUAUAGUACAACCGAACUCUAUCCAUUUUAAUGGAUGCUCAACGGGGGAAUAGGCGUUAAAAGUGGUCGUCGAACCUCUGGGGCUUGUUACAUAAUAAUGCCAUUGCUCGUUACAUCUAACAUUACAUGUACUAUUAUUGUAGCCACGACUUUGGUGUUUUUCUAAUAAUGUGUGCAGAGUUCAUGAUCAAUCAGAAGAUUUAUGAUAUACCAAAAAAACUUAGCUCCAAAUAUCACGAAGACAUACUUGGCUUCUCAACUAUACAAGUAUAGGAACCAAAAGCACAUUGUUCAAUAUGAAACCGGCUAUGAUCUAGUUUCGAGGAGCGUGAGAAAGGCAUGCAAGUCAAUGAAGGGCCCACUCUAAAAAACCAUUUCAUUUUGUUGAAUUUUUCUAUCAAGAUGUAUUCCGUUUUAUUACUUUGGUCCACAGCUUUUGUUAUGGUAUUUGUACUUCUUAGCCUCCAUUUUUAAGCAAAGUCUUUAAGGAAAAUUUACAUUCAAAAACCAUCAAACUGGUGUUGAAAAUAAAUAAAUAAAUAAAAGAACAAAAAGAGAGAGAGAGAGAGUAAUAGUGAUAUUUCACACUGCAAUCACCACUCUAGAUCUCGACACCAAAUAAACAAAACAAGAUUAACAUCCUGUUUGACAACUAUUAUUUUAAAAAAAAAAAAAAAAGGAGUUUUUAAAUGGUGAUUUUUAGGAGAAAUUGUGAUUAAAAAAUAGGAAAAAGUAUUUGACCGAACAAUUGAUAGGAUCUUAUCAUCCUAACCAUAUGAACAUCCAGGUUUAGUGCGAUUUUAACCGAACAAAUGGCAAAUGGUAACUCUGUCUAAAGAGGAUCUACUUUUUAGAAUAUAUGGUCCAGAUUUAAAGAAAAAUAAAUCGAUACCGUACAUAGAAAUAAAGAGAAAAUGUGAUCAAAUUAGAAGCGAAAAAAUAUUCCAAAAAAAUAAAAAAUAAAAAAAAUAAAAAGUUGAACCCUAAUCUUGAAGGCCCCAUCGCCCUGCCCUGGAGCAUUGUGAGGGAGGUAAAUUGUGGGAUGUACCCCAACAAGUCAGAAAAUAAGAGUUUGCCCGUACACUAGUAUCCACGAAGAGUCCAAUUUCAUAUCUCAAGAAUUGAAUUCUUACGUUGCGACUGUUAGGAAGACUGAGACUACCUUAGCCAUGUUCUCAGUGUAAACUAAAAUAAACAUAUAUUAGGUGAUUUGAAAUAAUAUGAUCUACUGCAUAGGAUUUUGUAGAAUAUAUAGCAGUUGAUUGAAUAAAAACUGAAAAUAAAUAAACACAUUUAUGUCAUCUUUAUCAAAUUUAUUAAGAGUAAAGUUUAAUUUUCAUAAUUAGGUCUGUGGAAGAAUUUGUUUUGGUUUCGCAACAGUGUCGACGAAAAUACUUGGUUGAAAUGGUUUUCAAGAAGCCAAGGACAUGACUUUGACAUACAUAAAACAGUGAAUCGUGAAUAAAAGCUAGAUUAAAGAUCGUUUGACGUUUACCCUAAUCAUAUCCGGAAAAGAAAAUAAUAAUAAUGAAGAAAAAGAAGAAGAAGAAGAAGACAACAAUAAAUCUCUUGGUGCCCAGAUAUUUCAUCCAUAGGCGACUUUAAGAAGGUAAUCAACGAUAUUAAGCUCAUUUUGAUUUCCAUUUUCUAAUGAAACCUUGUAAACUACUGAAAUUGUCCACACACAAGCUAGCUGUAAUAAAAAACUUGAACUAAAAUAGAUAAAGUCGGAUGAAAUAAACAACAAUCAGCUGAAACUAUUUAGGGUUUAGUUUAAAAUUCCAGAAUCAAAAUGAAAUUUCCAUCUCCACCCAAACAGAUUUCCCUCCUAAUUUAAUUCAAUUCUAGAAUGAUUUAAGGAACUAAUCACAAAUGAGUGAGCAGAUACGCAGGAAAA